UACAGAGGUCCCAAGCGUUGUUCGGAUUCACUGGGCGUAAAGGGUGCGUAGGUGGUUGGGUAAGUCUGAUGUGAAAGCCCGGAGCUUAACUCCGGAAUGGCAUUGGAUACUACUCGGCUAGAGGGUUGGAGGGGGGACUGGAAUUCUCGGUGUAGCAGUGAAAUGCGUAGAUAUCGAGAAGAACACCGGUGGCGAAGGCGAGUCCCUGGACAACUCCUGACACUGAGGCACGAAAGCUAGGGGAGCAAACAGG
rnacentral:rRNA from 1 species